ensembl:lncRNA
CACUCCCAUUCGCCCCCCCAUUGACAAACCCCCCCCCCAUUCUCUCUCUCUGUGCCGGCCGCCCCCGCGCUGUCGCGCAGACGACGUGGUGUCCAAUUACUUCACUCAGGGGAAGCGCUCUCAGCGCUCGGGCCUUCUGCGCGUCUUCGGCCUCCUCCGGGACGCGGUGCUGCCGCGCCGACAGAAGAUCUACUGAGCGCCCCACACUGCGCCCCACACACACGGGGGGGGCUCUGCCCCAUAGCGCCGCGGCUCUGCCCCAUAGAGAUGCGGCUCUGCCCCAUAGCGCCGCGGCUCUGCCCCAUAGAGAUGCGGCUCUGCCCCAUAGAGAUGUGGCUCUGCCCCAUAGCUGUACAGCUCUGCCCAUAGAGAUGCGGCUCUGCCCCAUAGCUGUGAGGCUCUGCCCCAUAGCUGUACAGCUCUGCCCAUAGAGAGGCAGCUCUGCCCCAUAGCGCCGCGGCUCUGCCCCAUAGCGCUGCGGCUCUGCCCCAUAGCGCCACGGCUCUGCCCCAUAGAGAUGUGGCUCUGCCCCAUAGCUGUGAGGCUCUGCCCCAUAGCGCCGCGGCUCUGCCCCAUAGAGAUGUGGCUCUGCCCCAUAGCUGUACAACUCUGCCCAUAGAGAGGCAGCUCUGCCCCAUAACGCCGCGGCUCUGCCCCAUAGCGCUGCGGCUCUGCCCCAUAGCACCGCGGCUCUGCCCCAUAGCUGUGAGGCUCUGCCCCAUAGCGCCGCGGCUCUGCCCCAUAGUGCGGCUGUGCCCCAUAGCGCCGCGGCUCUGCCCCAUAGCUGUACAGCUCUGCCCAUAGCAAUGCGGCUCUGCCCCAUAGAGAUGUGGCUCUGCCCCAUAGCUGUACAGCUCUGCCAAUAGAGAGGCAGCUCUGCCCCAUAGCGCCGCGGCUCUGCCCAUAGAGAUGUGGCUCUGCCCCAUAGAGAUGUGGCUCUGCCCCAUAGCUGUGAGGCUCUGCCCCAUAGCGCCGCGGCUCUGCCCCAUAAGAUGUGGCUCUGCCCCAUAGCUGUGAGGCUCUGCCCCAUAGCGCCGCGGCUCUGCCCCAUAGAGAUGUGGCUCUGCCCCAUAGCUGUACAACUCUGCACAUAGAGAGGCAGCUCUGCCCCAUAGCUGUGAGGCUCUGCCACAUAGCAGUGCAGCUCUGCCCAUAGAGAUGUGGCUCUGCCCCAUAGAGAUGUGGCUCUGCCCCAUAGCUGUGAGGCUCUGCCCCAUAGCACUGCGGCUCUGCCCAUAGCAGUGUGGCUCUGCCCCAUAGCGAUGCGGCUCUGCCCCACAGCACUGCGGCUCUGCCCCAUAGCACCACGGCUCUGCCCAUAGAGAUGUGGCUCUGCCCCAUAGAGAUGUGGCUCUGCCCCACAGCUGUGCAGCUCUGCCCCCCCUCCCCCCCCCCCGGCCCUGUGAAGGACUGUAAUAUGGGGGGGGGGGGGAAUGGAUGUAGGGGGGGGGGCUGAGGAUGGCCGCCCCACAGCGGCCCCACAGUGCGUCGUGACCCCCCCUUCCCCCCCCCCCCCCCCCCCCCAACGGUGUCGGGCUGAGGUUGACGCAGAACUGUCGGUUAAUUAAAGUUAAUUGUAAUUAGUAAUGAAAGGCAGCGCUCCAUCACAACCCCCCCCCCCCCCCCCCACAACACCACCACUGCUGGGAGCGGUGGGGCGGUCACCAAAGGGCUCCAUGGGGUGGGACCCCCAACUGCCCUCUGAGACCCCCAAGUGCCAUCUGAGACUCCAAAGGGCCCUCUGGGACCCCCAAGUGCCCUCCAGGACCCCCAAAUGCCCUCCAGGACCCCCUGUGUACCCUUUGGGCCCCCCAUUUGCCCCCUUGGACCCACAGGUGCCCACUGAGACCCCCAAGUGCACCCUUGGAGCCCCUAAGUGCCAUCUGAGACCCCCUGUGUACCCUUUGUGACCCCCAAGUGCCCCACGGGACCCCCAAGUGCCCUCCAGGACCCCCAAGUCCCCUCCGGGACCCCCAAGUGCCCCCUGGGACCCCCAAGUGACCCCUUGGACCCCCAAGUACCCUCUGAGACCCCCAAGUGCCCCCUGGGACCCCCAAAUGCCCUCUGGGACCCCCAAGUGCCCUCUGGGCCCCCCAAGUGCCCCCUGGGACCCCCAAAUGCCCACUGAGACCCCCUAAGUGCCCUCUGAGACCCCCAAGUGCCCUUUGGGACCCCCAAGUGCCCUCUGGGACCCCCCUGUGUACCCUUUGCGACCCCCAAGUGCCCCAUGGGACCCCCAAAGUGCCGUCCAGGACCCCUAUGUGCCCCCUGGGACCCCCAACUGCCCACUGAGACCCCCAACUGCCCUACAGGACCCCCUGUGUACCCUCUGAGACCCCCAAGUGCCCCCUUGGACCCCAAAGUGCCUUUAAGGACCCCAAGUGCCCCCUGGGCCCCCCAAGUGCCCUCUGAGACCCCCAAAUGCCCUCUGGGACCCCCAACUGCCCCCUUGGACCCCCAAGUGCCCUCUGGGACCCCCAAGUGCCCCCUGGGACCCCCAAAUGCCCACUGAGACCCCCUAAGUGCCCUCUGAGACCCCCAAGUGCCCUCCGGGACCCCCAACUGCCCUCUGGGACCCCCAAGUGCCAUCUGAGACCCCCAAAUGCCCUCCGGGACCCCCAAGUGCCCCCUGGGCCCCCCAAGUGCCCUCCAGGACCCCCAAGUGCCCCCUGGGACCCCCAAGUGACCCCUUGGACCCCCAAGUGCCCCCUGGGAUCCCCUGUGUACCCUCUGAGACCCCCUAAGUGCCCUCUGAGACCCCCAACUGCCCUACAGGACCCCCUGUUACCCUCUGAGACCCCCAAGUGCCCUCUGAGACCCCCAAAUGCCCUCCGGGACCCCCAAAUGCCCCCUGGGACCCCCAAGUGACUCCUUGGACCCCCAACUGCCCCCUUGGACCCCCAAGUGCCCUCCAGGCCCCCCUGUGUGCCCUAUGGGACUAUUAGGGCCGUUCCUCCCCCAUCCCCCCCCCAACCCCAUUAAUGGCGGACCCCACUCUGCUGUCCCCGCUGAGUGAGCCGCUAAUUAGGCCGUUAAUGAGGCGGCUCUCAUUAAGCCCGAGCACAUUUGGGGCCGCACAAAGGGCCGGCGGUCCCACAAUGGGGUCAGUGUGGGGCAGGGGGGGUCCUUAAUGAGACGCCGUAAUUAAUGGGGUCUCAUUAUGUGGGGCGGCCCGCAGGGCUGUAUGGGGUCGGUGCGGGGAUGGAGGGUGGUGUGGGGUCAGUGUGGGGUCAGUUGUGGGAUAUAAUGGGGUCAGUGUGGGGACAGUGUGGGGUCAGUGUGGGGUCAGUGUGGGGAUAUAAUGGGGUCACUAUGGGGUCUGUGGGGUCAGUGUGGGGUCAGUAUGGGGAUAUAAUGGGGUCACUAUGGGGUCUGUGGGGUCAGUGUGGGGUCAGUAUGGGGAUAUAAUGGGGACAGUGUGGGGUCAGUGUGGGGUCAAUAUGGGGAUAUAAUGGGGACAGUGUGGGGUCAGUAUGGGGUCAGUGUGGGGAUAUAAUGGGGUCAGUGUGGGGUCAGUGUGGGGACAGUGUGGGGUCAGUAUGGGGUCAAUAUGGGGUCAGUGUGGGGAUAUAAUGGGGUCACUAUGGGGUCAGUGUAG